UCAUCCUAAAACAAUCAUCUAAGGACUAUUGAGAGUAUAUUAAUCAAAUGAUUGUAUUUUUCAAUCUUUUUGACUUACUCCUAUCAAUCUAAAAUCAAUCCAUAAACCUUUAAUUCAACCAUUAUAUAACACCAAAUGGCACAAAUUCCAAAAAUCUAUCUAAACACAUAAAUACAUAAUAUGCACACGUGAAAGCAAUCAAACAAACGGACAUCACAUAUAAAACACCAUGGUUCAGAUACUAAAAAACACUCUGUGAAGACUAACCCCAAUAUAUCAGAAUAUUAAAAAAUUACCCAAACAAUUGGAGUUGCGUACCCUUUAAGGACUCUAGCUAGUGGGGAACACCAUCGAUGACCUCAUCAGCAAAGUAAUAGCAAGACCCACAAACAGAUUAAUCAGUCGUCUGAUUCUCCGGUAGCAGAAGCCGUCGCCGAUCACCGCUAUAAAUUUAUUCUGUCGCCAUAGCUACAAUCUAAGAUAGUAUUUUGUCAGCUUACUAAGGAGCAUGUAUUUUUGGAAAAAGUAAAAAUAAAAGAGGAUAGAGCUCGGAUCAGACAAGUGGUCUCUUCACUUCUUGGUGGCUUCACACGUGUCGCCAUUCUUAUCCAUUUGAAGCUCCACUUCCCAUACAGAGUCACACAGUCCAAUCUAUUCUAAACAGGCAUACGACAAAGUUUUGAGUCACGCGAUCUGUGAGUCUUGUACUUAUAGCCGUUUGCUUUUCUCAAAAAUAUUUUGCUAGAAGCAGUUUGUGUUUGACUAAUUAGUUUGAAAAG
rnacentral:lncRNA from 1 species